rnacentral:rRNA from 1 species
CAAUAGCGUAUAUUAAAGUUGUUGCGGUUAAAAAGCUCGUAGUUGGAUUUCUGCUGAGAACGAUCGGUCCGCCGUUAGGUGUGCACUGAUUGGUCUCAGCUUCCUGGUGAGGAGGUGUGCUUCACGGCCACUUAGUCACCGUGGUUACUUUGAAAAAAUUAGAGUGUUCAAAGCGGGCUUACGCUUGAAUAUAUUAGCAUGGAAUAACACCAUAGGACUCCUGUCCUAUUUCGUUGGUCUCGGGACGGGAGUAAUGAUUAAGAGGAACAGUUGGGGGCAUUCGUAUUUCAUUGUCAGAGGUGAAAUUCUUGGAUUUAUGAAAGACGAACUUCUGCGAAAGCAUUUGCCAAGGAUGUUUUCAUUGA